CGACUCUCGAUCGUAGCCUCGGCUCCCUUGCGUUUUCCUUCUUCCCAUCUAAAUCUCUCUCUCGAUCUUCGACUAUGUCGCUCUCAACGAUGAGAACGUAGCAGACGGGCGGUCUGAAUCUGAUGCCUUGUUGAAUGUCUGCAACCUUAUCAGCCUCUGAGAGAUAUUUCCUCCUUCAGUCGGAGGCAAAUCGUCAAAAGACAACCAACGCUAAAUCAUAGCUCUCAUGAGCAUCGUCGAAGUGGCUUUGGCCGGCCAGGUUGCAGAGGCAUAGCACGGGAGGGAGCAAUGGAGUUUAGCAUUUGGAUGAAUGCCUUGUGGGAAAUAUCAAGGUGUUUUCGGUAACAAGGAUUCAAUGUUGGAGCAAAUUUUGUUAUGUGAAGUUUUUUCUAGGGCUGUCGAUCUAAAAUAGUGAAAAACAUUCUGAUGAUCAGAUGUAAAGUUUACAGGACAAAAAUACAAGGGCAUUUUUAACAAA